UUGCGACCACAUCACGUUGAAUCGCCGGUUCCCGUAAUACUACCGAAGUUAAGUAACAUCAAGCCUGAUCAGUACCUAGAUGGGUGAGCGCUUGGGCAUACGAAGUUGCUGUAAG